UACAGCCAUAUCACGUCGAAACACUGUGUUCCUGUGCGAUCAACGAAGUUAAGCAACGUUGAGCCUGGUCGGUAUCUUGAUGGGUGACCGCUUGGAAAUAACAGAUGGUGUAUG